GCGCCUGUAGUCUAGUGGUUAGGAUAACUGCCUUCCAUUCCUCAUGGAUGUCAGCAGUUGACCCGGGUUCGAAUCCCGGCGGGCGCA